rnacentral:tRNA from 1 species
GGCAAUGUAGCUCAGUGGUGGAGCCCUUGCCUAGCAUGCAGGAGGCCCUGGGUUCAAUCCCCAGUACCA